AGUGAACGCUGGCGGUAGGCCUAACACAUGCAAGUCGAACGGCAGCACAGAGGAGCUUGCUCCUUGGGUGGCGAGUGGCGGACGGGUGAGGAAUACAUCGGAAUCUACUCUGUCGUGGGGGAUAACGUAGGGAAACUUACGCUAAUACCGCAUACGACCUACGGGUGAAAGCAGGGGAUCUUCGGACCUUGCGCGAUUGAAUGAGCCGAUGUCGGAUUAGCUAGUUGGCGGGGUAAAGGCCCACCAAGGCGACGAUCCGUAGCUGGUCUGAGAGGAUGAUCAGCCACACUGGAAAUGAGACAGGGGCCAGACUCCGACGGGAGGCAGCAGUGGGGAAUAUUGGACAAUGGGCGCAAGCCUGAUCCAGCCAUACCGCGUGGGUGAAGAAGGCCUUCGGGUUGUAAAGCCCUUUUGUUGGGAAAGAAAUCCAUCUGGUUAAUACCCGGGUGGGAUGACGGUACCCAAAGAAUAAGCACCGGCUAACUUCGUGCCAGCCGCCGCCGUAA
rnacentral:rRNA from 1 species